rnacentral:sRNA from 1 species
GACUAGAAAUCAUGUGGGCUCUGCCCGCGUAGGUCCUGCUGACUGCGUUAAACUUUU